UUUCCGUAGGUGAACCUGCGGAAGGAUCAUUAACGAGUUAGGGUCUUCCAGGCCCGACCUCCCAACCCUAUGUUUAUUGAACCUCUGUUGCUUCGGCGGACUCGUCUCACGACCGCCGGAGGACCGCCGCGAGGCGUCCUCUGGCCAGCGUCCGCCGAUGGCCAACCACUUAACUCUGAAUGAAUCGUGUCAUUAUGUCUAAGUCUAUGAUUAAAUUAGAGCAAAACUUUCAACAACGGAUCUCUUGGUUCUG
rnacentral:misc_RNA from 1 species